rnacentral:rRNA from 1 species
AAAAUUGGACAAUGGGCGAAAGCCUGAUCCAGCAAUGCCGCUUGGGUGUAGAAGGUCUUCGGAUUGUAAAGCCCUUUAAGUUGGGUGGAAGGGUCAUAGACUAAUACUCAGCAAUCGUGUCGUUACCGACCAAAUAACCACCGGCUAUCUACGUGCCAGCCGCCGCGGUAAUACGCAGGGUGCAAGCGUUAAUCGGAAUUACUGGGCGUAAAGCGCGCGUAGGUGGUUCGUUAAGUAGGAUGUGAAAGCCCCGGGCUCAACCUGGGAACUGCAUCCAAAACUGGCUAGCUAGAGUACAGUAGAGGGUAGUGGAAUUUCCAGUGUAGCGGUGAAAUGCGUAGAUAUAGGGAGGAACACCAGUGGCGAAGGCGGCCACCUGGACUGAUACUGACACUGAGGUGCGAAAGCGUGGGGAGCAAACAGG